CUGGACCAGGCGGACACAGCGGUUGCUUGCGCCGUCCGCGUUCACCUGGCGAUUGCUCGCGACAUUUUGUUAGCC
rnacentral:sRNA from 1 species